rnacentral:rRNA from 1 species
GAUCAUGGCUCAGAUUGAACGCUGGCGGCAUGCUUUACACAUGCAAGUCGAACGGCAGCGCGGGGCAACCUGGCGGCGAGUGGCGAACGGGUGAGUAAUACAUCGGAACGUACCCAGAAGUGGGGGAUAACGUAGCGAAAGUUACGCUAAUACCGCAUACGUUCUACGGAAGAAAGUGGGGGAUCGCAAGACCUCAUGCUUUUGGAGCGGCCGAUGUCUGAUUAGCUAGUUGGUGAGGUAAAGGCUCACCAAGGCGACGAUCAGUAGCUGGUCUGAGAGGACGACCAGCCACACUGGGACUGAGACACGGCCCAGACUCCUACGGGAGGCAGCAGUGGGGAAUUUUGGACAAUGGGGGCAACCCUGAUCCAGCAAUGCCGCGUGAGUGAAGAAGGCCUUCGGGUUGUAAAGCUCUUUUGUCAGGGAAGAAAAGGCUGCGGCUAAUAUCCGCGGCUGAUGACGGUACCUGAAGAAUAAGCACCGGCUAACUACGUGCCAGCAGCCGCGGUAAUACGUAGGGUGCAAGCGUUAAUCGGAAUUACUGGGCGUAAAGCGUGCGCAGGCGGUUUUGUAAGUCUGUCGUGAAAUCCCCGGGCUUAACCUGGGAAUUGCGAUGGAGACUGCAAGGCUGGGAGUCUGGCAGAGGGGGGUAGAAUUCCACGUGUAGCAGUGAAAUGCGUAGAGAUGUGGAGGAACACCGAUGGCGAAGGCA